ACAAAAAUAGAGGGAGACAUACGGUUGUUCCCAAAUCUUCCUUCCCCAGAUGCAGCCGUCGCCUUCUCCUCUUCCCCACGCGAGCUCUCCUCUCCCCUUUCAGCGCCUCCUAGAUAGGGUUACCGACGUCGCCCCCUAUCCAUGACCUGAUUCGCGGAGGUGGCGGGUAGGUGCGCUAAGGUCGAUGGCGCCGAGGACGAGGCAGAGCAGCAGAGGUGGUUCUGUUGUGCUGGGUUGAGCGGCGGCCGGAGCGGGUCAGCCACAGCCACGGAGAUGGUCGUCCGUGGAGUCGUCCUCAUCCACAGAAGGGAAGGGAGGACGAGAUGAAGAGCGCCACCGGGAGCAGAUCUGGCCGUCGACGGCAAGAAGGCCACGCCUUCUUCCACCUCCGUGCGGUCACCCAGACAAUUCCAUCAGACUUGGCCAAAAAUACCAUCAAUGUAUCACCUGUACAUAUGUUUAGGGCUGAUGCACCCGUCUAAAUGAAGUAAGAUAUGGUCUGUACUAAAUGAAUGUUGGUGUGCUAGGGCUAUCUGUAUCUGCAGUGCACCAGUGUGUCCAGGAGAAGGAGCAGCAACUCCUUGGACAAUGGUCUGGCCUGAUGUAUGUUUGUUUGCUAACAUAGUGCUAAUGGGUGUGCAAAUUAAGGUUCGGCCACGUCUGCGGCAACGGCGGGGACCUCCGCCCGUGGGUCUCCGUCUUGCUGCUCAUCCUCUUUUCUAGGUACAUUGACUCAUAAUGAUGAAGUUGCAACAGUAUGGAGUACAUACAAUUUUUUCUUUCGGAACUAAACUCGUCUCAAGGUAAAUACUACAGGAAGCACUGCAUAUAUGUUCAUGCCACCCUGAAUAUAUUGGAUUUAGAUCUUGAUGUAUAUAUGCAGUAUGUAUGUUCUAUAAAGAUCAGCGUGAAGAGUGUUUGUUCAUUGGAACAUGUUUUUUCUUCCUGAUUUAGGGUCUUACUACAAUAUAACUAUCUAGAAAGCAUUUUAUAGGAGGCCACAUUCAGACUUCUUUACUAAAUUCUUCAUAGCCUUACCAUGAUAGUUGCAGUACAGCUCUCACAUGAGGCCUGCUUAUUAUUUCUCCCACCUUUUCUAUUCAUACUACUGGUGUUCCGGCGUUGUUUAUUGCCCAAUUUCUUUUCCGUUCAAAGUCACCUUAUACACAAGCAACUACCAAUAGCCUUGAAGCUUCUAUCACCAAAACCACUCUGAUGUAUAUUACCUUGGAACUCAUCAUUUCUGGAGACGACUUCAUGUAUUCCUACGGUUAUCUUCCUAUCUUAGUUUACUCCAUCAUUUGUUUCUGAGAGGCUCGCUAUGCGGUUCGCGCUGCUUGCUGUGCCAGCCGGCGCGCCCAUCCACGUGUUCAAGAACCUCCUGCUGAUUCACACCAUGACUGGUAUGCAUGCUAGGACGCCCCUCACUGCUGAAUCAUAAUUUCAAGAAAUGUUGUUGUCAAAUGCAAAUAGUUAGUGUGUUAUGCAGUCCACUUAGCAUACUUUUCGUCUUUGCUUGGAUGGUUAUUCAUACCAAACACUUAAUAAUUCAAGCUCAGUAUUUUCCAUUUUGUAAAUAAAACAAUUGUUCACAGAUGCCUGUCACUGUCACAUUUUCUUGAUAUGUUUUCCAACACCACCACUAUUAAGUAUAUGCCUAUACCCAUCAAACCAUCUUUUCAAUCUCAUCCCUGUACCUUUGCGUGAAGUUCGUUCAAAUGAUUUUAGGCCUAGAGCCCGGAUAAUAGUGUACUAGCCUUGUGAAGGCUCACAGUAUACCCCUCCACACUGCUCUGUCAAUUUCUUUUGGAAAGACUGUUGUCCUAUGGUCUUCCGGUAUGUCUCUUUCCAAUUUGCAAAGUGUACAAUAAUUACUACUUUACUCUUAUUAUUUCCUCUGAUUGGAUUUUAAAACUGUGCUCACUCAUCCAUAGUUAAAUAUUAUAGUAUUGCAAGUUUAGGAAGCACCUGAAAUAUUGAAAGAAGCUAAGAAUCUUGUUUCGUCUGGUGUCGCUCACAAAAUUUUCUUCUGAUUCUUGCACGAGCUACUCACACAAUGGCCACCAGUUCUCUGAUCCUUCUUAUUACAUAGUACACUACUAUCUUAUUUUCAUUCUUUUGCUUCUUUGACCCAUCAUCUUCGGGUAUUUACAUGUAAACAGAAAGUCUCGAUGACGCUGCUGCUGCUGCUCUCGCUUCACUUACUAUACCCGAGGCAAUGGAGUCUGCAAAGGAAUUUUCCAUCAGGAUGAGAUAGGCGUCGUUUAUUCACCUAAGUAACCCUCUUCUCACCACACUAAAAUUUGUAGCAUACUCUGAUCAUACAGAUGCCAGAUGUGGUUUAUUCUUAGAGUUGUUAAUUGUUCUGAAAGUGAUGGAUCAGAAGCUAGUGAUGGAUCAGAAGCUGAUGAAGUUGUCCAUAUUCACACUACAAGUAGUUGGGGGCCUGCUAAAUGUCAUCAACAAGAGAAGGUUCUAUCUAGCAUUAGGGAGGGCUUUAUUUAUAAUUCUAACAAUUAUUUAUGUAAAGUUUUUUUUCUUUUGAUCUGAAUGGCAUGGAAAAUGUUGAUUCAUUUCAUGUCGUCAUUUUGUUUUAUUUUUCUGUCUUGCUCAGUAAAACUUGCUUUUGUAAUUAGGCCAAAGUUUCCAUCCCUUUUAUAAAAGAAAACAAAUAACUUGACGCUAACAUCUACUGUGCUUAUCAGAGAAGACCCCAUGCAGAUGGGCGACAGGUGCAUCAGGGUGACCAUCCACCAUUGCUUCUUUGACAGCAUGCGGCCGAUCUAUGCAGUUCAGCAAGGUCCACCUCUUCAACAAAACUACACCAGGGACUGGGGCAUAUACGCUGUCUGCGACAUUGUCAAAGCUCAGUUGCAGGUUGUAUCCAGUGUAACAUAUAUGAUGAACAGAUGAAGACUGUUUUCAAAUACAUGCCGGAGAAGGUACCUGCAUCUUCAUACAA